UACGUAGGUGCAAGCGUUGUCCGGAAUUAUUGGGCGUAAAGAGCUUGUAGGCGGUUUGUCGCGUCUGCUGUGAAAUUUCGGGGGCUCAACCCCCGAACUUGCAGUGGGUACGGGCAGACUAGAGUGUGGUAGGGGAGGCCGGAAUUCACGGUGUAGCAGUGAAAUGCGGUAGAUAUCGUGAGGAAGACCAACGGCGAAAGCAGGCCUCUGGAAAUCUCCUGACACUGAGGCUCGAAGGCCAGGGGAGCAAACGGGAUUAGAUACCCC
rnacentral:rRNA from 1 species